rnacentral:rRNA from 1 species
UUGUUGGUAAGGUAAAAGCUUACCAAGGCUUCAAUCAGUAGCUGGUCUGAGAGGACGACCAGCCACACUGGGACUGAGACACGGCCCAGACUCCUACGGGAGGCAGCAGUGGGGAAUUUUGGACAAUGGGGGCAACCCUGAUCCAGCCAUGCCGCGUGAGUGAAGAAGGCRUUCGUUGUAAAGCUCUUUCAGCCGGAACGAAACGGUUACGGAUAACACCCGUGACUACUGACGGUACCGGAAGAAGAAGCACCGGCUAACUACGUGCCAGCAGCCGCGGUAAUACGUAGGGUGCGAGCGUUAAUCGGAAUUACUGGGCGUAAAGCGUGCGCAGGUGGUUUUGUAAGUCAGAUGUGAAAGCCCCGGGCUCAACCUGGGAACUGCGUUUGAAACUACAAGACUAGAGUGUGGCAGAGGGGGGUGGAAUUCCGCGUGUAGCAGUGAAAUGCGUAGAGAUGUGGAGGAACACCGAUGGCGAAGGCAGCCCCCUGGGUCAACACUGACGCUCAGGCACGAAAGCAUGGGGAGCAAACAGGAUUAGAUACCCUGGUAGUCCAUGCCCUAAACGAUGUCAACUAGUUGUCGGGCCUUUACGGGCUUGGUAACGUAGCUAACGCGUGAAGUUGACCGCCUGGGGAGUACGAUCGCAAGAUUAAAACUCAAAUGAAUUGACGGGGACCCGCACAAGCGGUGGAUUAUGUGGAUUAAUUCGAUGCAACGCGAAAAACCUUACCUACCCUUGACAUGUAUCGAAGCCCGCAGAAAAGCGGGGGUGCCCGAAAGGGAACGAUAACACAGGUGCUGCAUGGCUGUCGUCAGCUCGUGUCGUGAGAUGUUGGGUUAAGUCCCGCAACGAGCGCAACCCUUGUCAUUAAUUGCCAUCAUUUAGUUGGGCACUUUAAUGAGACUGCCGG